UAGGGAAUCUUCCGCAAUGGGCGAAAGCCUGACGGAGCAACGCCGCGUGAGUGAUGAAGGUCUUCGGAUCGUAAAACUCUGUUAUUAGGGAAGAACAAAUGUGUAAGUAACUAUGCACGUCUUGACGGUACGUAAUCAGAAAGCCACGGCUAACUACGUGCCAGCAGCCGCGGUAAUACGUAGGUGGCAAGCGUUAUUCGGAAUUAUUGGGCGUAAAGCGCGCGUAGGCGGUUUUUUAAGUCUGAUGUGAAAGCCCACGGCUCAACCGUGGAGGGUCAUUGGAAACUGGAAAACUUGAGUGCAGAAGAGGAAAGUGGAAUUCCAUGUGUAGCGGUGAAAUGCGCAGAGAUAUGGAGGAACGCCAGUGGCGAAGGCGACUUUCUGGUCUGUAACUGACGCUGAUGUGCGAAAGCGUGGGGAUCAAACAGG
rnacentral:rRNA from 1 species